GGAAGUAGUGACGUAAUUUCAUAGAGUCAUUCGGUCUGAAUGCUACAUGAAGAACAUAAGCCAAAUGAAGGAACGGGAAGACCUAGGAUGUAGUAGAAGAUCAUAACAUGAGUGAUUCGGCAGAUUUUGAUUCCUAUAUAUCCACUCAUGCGGUACUUCAUUAUGCGAUAUAUAUAAGAUCCAUCUGUAUAGAUAUCAUCAUCUACAUCCAGAA
rnacentral:lncRNA from 1 species